GUGGGGAAUAUUGGACAAUGGGGGCAACCCUGAUCCAGCCAUGCCGCGUGAAUGAUGAAGGCCUUCGGGUUGUAAAGUUCUUUUGGAGGGGACGAUGAUGACGGUACCCUCAGAAUAAGCUCCGGCUAACUUCGUGCCAGCAGCCGCGGUAAUACGAAGGGAGCUAGCGUUGUUCGGAAUUACUGGGCGUAAAGGGCGCGUAGGCGGUUUGGUUAGUCAGAUGUGAAAGCCCAGGGCUUAACCCUGGAACUGCGUUUGAUACUGCCAAGCUUGAAUUCGGGAGAGGUGAGUGGAAUUCCCAGUGUAGAGGUGAAAUUCGUAGAUAUUGGGAAGAACACCGGUGGCGAAGGCGGCUCACUGGACCGACAUUGACGCUGAGGCGCGAAAGCGUGGGGAGCAAACAGGAUUAGAAACCCUGGUAGUCC
rnacentral:rRNA from 1 species